rnacentral:rRNA from 1 species
AACGAACGCUGGCGGCAUGCCUAACGCAUGCAAGUCGAACGAGACCUUCGGGUCUAGUGGCGCACGGGUGCGUAACGCGUGGGAACCUGCCCUUAGGUUCGGAAUAACUCCCCGAAAGGGGUGCUAAUACCGGAUAAUGUCUUCGGACCAAAGAUUUAUCGCCUUUGGAUGGGCCCGCGUUGGAUUAGCUAGUUGGUAGGGUAAAAGCCUACCAAGGCGACGAUCCAUAGCUGGUCUGAGAGGAUGAUCAGCCACACUGGGACUGAGACACGGCCCAGACUCCUACGGGAGGCAGCAGUGGGGAAUAUUGGACAAUGGGCGAAAGCCUGAUCCAGCAAUGCCGCGUGAGUGGUGAAGGCCUUAGGGUUGUAAAGCUCUUUUACCCGGGAUGAUAAUGACAGUACCGGGAGAAUAAGCUCCGGCUAACUCCGUG